UUCACCAGCUUUCUUCCUGCUCUGCACUUAUGCUAAUGCCUGUUUGCUGCUGGAUAUGGCAUCUGCUAUAGAGCUCAUGUCUCCACGAUUCCAGACCUACAUGAGCUCCUCACAUCAUAUCAAUGUCUCCCACAGCCAAAGACCAUGAGGGUGGAGAUCAAUGCUGUGAAUACCAAGUGACGGGGAAAGUAUAUCACCUAUACAGCUGCAGGCUUCACACCCUGAGGACAAGGGGACCUGCUGGGGAGAAGGGUACCUUGAUGCUCCUGGGACCUACUGCAUAAUCUGGACGGAGCUUCGAUUUCGCGUCAACAUAUUUUUAUUACUGGAUUACUGCAUUUAUUUGUAAGGACUUGCGUCAAGCCGACUAUUGUUGGUCACUACUGGUAUUAUCCUGAAACAUACGCACUGUAGGGGUCCUCUGUAACAUUUACAUUUUUGCCAGUCCUUUGUGUAGUUCCAUUCUAUAUGGCCAUGAGUAUAUGGAAUGCUGCCAGAGAGGGUGUUGAAUACAGUUGCCUGGUUAGCAAGGGUCUCUCAGUGGCCGGACCUGUGCCUCUUUGAGGUACGGGUUCCAACUACGGUGGAGCCCCGAUGGAGACGGCUUUCCAGAUUGCUUUGUCCACAGUACAUGUGUAUAUCUUCCAGUGUGCAUAUUAAGGACCACACUCAUACAUACAUACAUGUAUAAGAUAUCAAGGACCUCUGUUCCAUAUAUUGCUUAUAUUUUUACAUAUUGUUUGUAUUGACACAUCUUGCUCUUAUUACAGUUCUCCCAAUAAUUUGUCCUCAUACAAGAUGGCGCUCCAUACGUUUGAGUCAUUAGCAUGCAUGCCAAGUGACUAUGAGAGCUAGUAUGGUUGUUCCCCUACAGCAAGAUGGAUGUGCUCUUCUCCUACCCUGAUAUGCCAGUUUAGCUGGAUGGGGAAAACCUGAGAGAGACUGCAACUGAGCAGAUGAAACAUUGCUUUUCUUGACAUAAGAUUUAA